UACCAGCACCCCGAGUGGUCGGGACGUUUUAUUGGGCCUAAAGCAUCCGUAGCCGGUUCUACAAGUCUUCCGUUAAAUCCACCUGCUUAACAGAUGGGCUGCGGAAGAUACUAUAGAGCUAGGAGGCGGGAGAGGCAAGCGGUACUCGAUGGGUAGGGUAAAAUCCGUUGAUCCAUUGAAGACCACCAGUGGCGAAGGCGGCUUGCCAGAACGCGCUCGGACGGUGAGGGAUGAAAGCUGGGGGAGCAAAGCC
rnacentral:rRNA from 1 species